AGUGAACGCUGGCGGUAGGCCUAACACAUGCAAGUCGAACGGCAGCACAGUAAGAGCUUGCUCUUACGGGUGGCGAGUGGCGGACGGGUGAGGAAUACAUCGGAAUCUACUUUUUCGUGGGGGAUAACGUAGGGAAACUUACGCUAAUACCGCAUACCACCUACGGGUGAAAGCAGGGGAUCUUCGGACCUUGCGCGAUUGAAUGAGCCGAUGUCGGAUUAGCUAGUUGGCGGGGUAAAGGCCCACCAAGGCGACGAUCCGUAGCUGGUCUGAGAGGAUGAUCAGCCACACUGGAACUGAGACACGGUCCAGACUCCUACGGGAGGCAGCAGUGGGGAAUAUUGGACAAUGGGCGCAAGCCUGAUCCAGCCAUACCGCGUGGGUGAAGAAGGCCUUCGGGUUGUAAAGCCCUUUUGUUGGGAAAGAAAAGCAGCAGGUUAAUACCCCGCUGUUCUGACGGUACCCAAAGAAUAAGCACCGGCUAACUUCGUG
rnacentral:rRNA from 1 species